UACGUAGGCAGCGAGCGUUGUUCGGAGUUACUGGGCGUAAAGAGUAUGUAGGCGGUUCUGCAAGUUUGGUGUGAAAUCUCCCGGCUUAACCGGGAGGGUGCGCCGAAUACUGAGUGACUAGAGUGCGGGAGAGGAGAGUGGAAUUCCUGGUGUAGCGGUGAAAUGCGUAGAUAUCAGGAGGAACACCGGUGGUGUAGACGGCUCUCUGGACCGUAACUGACGCUGAGACACGAAAGCGUGGGUAGCAAACAGG
rnacentral:rRNA from 1 species